rnacentral:rRNA from 1 species
AUUGAACGCUGGCGGCAUGCCUUACACAUGCAAGUCGAACGGCAGCACGGGAGCAAUCCUGGUGGCGAGUGGCGAACGGGUGAGUAAUAUAUCGGAACGUGCCCGGUCGUGGGGAUAACGUAGCGAAAGCUUACGCUAAUACCGCAUACGAUCUAUGGAUGAAAGCGGGGGAUCGCAAGACCUCGCGCGAUUGGAGCGGCCGAUAUCAGAUUAGGUAGUUGGUGAGGUAAAGGCUCACCAAGCCGACGAUCUGUAGCUGGUCUGAGAGGACGACCAGGCCACACUGGGACUGAGACACGGCCCAGACUCCUACGGGAGGCAGCAGUGGGGAAUUUUGGACAAUGGGCGGCAAGCCUGAUCCAGCAAUGCCGCGUAGCAGGAUGAAGGCCUCGGGUUGUAAACUGACUUUGUACGGAACGAAAGGUUUCUAUUAAUACUAGGAGCUC